UACGAAGGGUGCAAGCGUUACUCGGAAUUACUGGGCGUAAAGGGUGCGUAGGUGGUUCUUUAAGUCUGCUGUGAAAGCCCCGGGCUCAACCUGGGAAUGGCAGUGGAUACUGGAGAGCUAGAGUGCGGUAGAGGGUAGUGGAAUUCCCGGUGUAGCAGUGAAAUGCGUAGAGAUCGGGAGGAACACCUGUGGCGAAAGCGGCUCACUGGACCACAACUGACGCUGAUGCGCGAAAGCUAGGGGAGCAAACAGG
rnacentral:rRNA from 1 species